rnacentral:sRNA from 1 species
CUGAUUCAUAUUACAUCUCAGGAAGGU